GCCGGAGUGGUGGAACUGGUAGACGCGCUGGACUCAAAAUCCAGUAAGCCCUGCGCUUGUGAGAGUUCGAUUCUCUCCUCCGGCACCA
rnacentral:tRNA from 1 species